UACGAGGGGGGCGAGCGUUGUUCGGAAUUAUUGGGCGUAAAGGGUGCGUAGGCGGCCUGACAAGUCUGAUGUGAAAUCCCUGGGCUCAACCCAGGGCCUGCAUCGGAAACUGUCGGGCUUGAGUAUGGGAGAGGUGAGUGGAAUUUCCGGUGUAGCGGUGAAAUGCGUAGAUAUCGGAAGGAACACCUGUGGCGAAAGCGGCUCACUGGACCAUUACUGACGCUGAGGCACGAAAGCGUGGGGAGCAAACGGG
rnacentral:rRNA from 1 species